rnacentral:rRNA from 1 species
UACGUAGGGCGCAAGCGUUGUCCGGAAUUAUUGGGCGUAAAGAGCUCGUAGGCGGCCUGUUGCGUCUGCUGUGAAAUCCCGGGGCUUAACCCCGGGCGUGCAGUGGAUACGGGGCUGGCUGGAGGCAGGCAGGGGGAGAAUGGAAUUCCCGGUGUAGCGGUGAAAAUGCGCAGAUAUCGGGGAGGAACACCGGUGGCGAAGGCGGU